CAGCAGCCGCGGGAAUACAGAGGGUGCAAGCGUUAAUCGGAAUUACUGGGCGUAAAGCGCACGCAGGCGGUCUGACAAGUCAGAUGUGAAAUCCCCGGGCUUAACCUGGGAACUGCAUUUGAAACUGUCAGGCUGGAGUCUUGUAGAGGGGGGUAGAAUUCCAGGUGUAGCGGUGAAAUGCGUAGAGAUCUGGAGGAAUACCGGUGGCGAAGGCGGCCCCCUGGACAAAGACUGACGCUCAGGUGCGAAAGCGUGGGGAGCAAACAGGAUUAGAGACCCCUGUAGUCCCUGUCUCUUAUAC
rnacentral:rRNA from 1 species